AUUGAACGCUGGCGGCAGGCCUAACACAUGCAAGUCGAGCGGAUGAAGGGAUCUUGCUCCUGGAUUCAGCGGCGGACGGGUGAGUAAUGCCUAGGAAUCUGCCUGGUAGUGGGGGAUAACGUCCGGAAACGGGCGCUAAUACCGCAUACGUCCUGAGGGAGAAAGUGGGGGAUCUUCGGACCUCACGCUAUCAGAUGAGCCUAGGUCGGAUUAGCUAGUUGGUGGGGUAAAGGCCUACCAAGGCGACGAUCCGUAACUGGUCUGAGAGGAUGAUCAGUCACACUGGAACUGAGACACGGUCCAGACUCCUACGGGAGGCAGCAGUGGGGAAUAUUGGACAAAGGGCGAAAGCCUGAUCCAGCCAUGCCGCGUGUGUGAAGAAGGUCUUCGGAUUGUAAAGCACGUUAAGUUGGGAGGAAGGGCAGUAAGUUAAUACCUUGCUGUUUUGACGUUACCAACAGAAUAAGCACCGGCUAACUUCGUG
rnacentral:rRNA from 1 species